AUUGAACGCUGGCGGCAUGCCUUACACAUGCAAGUCGAACGGCAGCACGGGUGCUUGCACCUGGUGGCGAGUGGCGAACGGGUGAGUAAUACAUCGGAACAUGUCCUGUAGUGGGGGAUAGCCCGGCGAAAGCCGGAUUAAUACCGCAUACGAUCUACGGAUGAAAGCGGGGGACCUUCGGGCCUCGCGCUAUAGGGUUGGCCGAUGGCUGAUUAGCUAGUUGGUGGGGUAAAGGCCUACCAAGGCGACGAUCAGUAGCUGGUCUGAGAGGACGACCAGCCACACUGGGACUGAGACACGGCCCAGACUCCUACGGGAGGCAGCAGUGGGGAAUUUUGGACAUUGGGCGAAAGCCUGAUCCAGCAAUGCCGCGUGUGUGAAGAAGGCCUUCGGGUUGUAAAGCACUUUUGUCCGGAAAGAAAUCCUUGGCCCUAAUACGGUCGGGGGAUGACGGUACCGGAAGAAUAAGCACCGGCUAACUACGUG
rnacentral:rRNA from 1 species